rnacentral:lncRNA from 1 species
GGUCCAACCUAUUCCUAAUUUUGAAUGAAUCUACAAUACAAUAAGUAAAAUGUUAAUCAAUUCCUCCCUAUUUUCUACAAAAAAUAAAUAAAUAAAUAAUAAUAAUAAUAAUAAUAAUAAUAAUAAUGAAAUGAAUCCUGUCAUGACAACAUUUAUUACUUGCUCAAAUACACUCUAGUGAAUGUUACUGAAAAUAAAAUUUACAAUACUGUGAUUCAUGACUUUGUAAGUCCUUCAUGAUCUUAACCAUAAUCUUGAUUUUAACUAGCUUGGCCAGACCACUCUAUGACACCCAAAAUGGCAACCAAGAAAAACCAGCAUCACCACUAUCAUUUUGUGCUGGCUAUAACUCCGCCACCGAUUUCUGCCAUGGCAUCACCACAACAGAUUUCAAUGACACUAAAGCAGUAUGAUUUCAUAUCAAUCAAGAAGAAGAGAUGUUAAAUUAAAUGUCAAAGGUAGAUAUAACACAGCAACUUAUCAUGAACAUUGUAUCCUCAUAUUGCAAACACAAGCACAAAGAAAAGCACAUGUUGAAAGUUGCCUCAAUAUUCUAUUAUCCAGAUAAGUGUUUAGCAAUGAUAGUUGGGCCAGCUGUAAUGUUUUGAAGACAUAAUUAGACCCCAAAUGUUAAGAAGAUAGAAUGAAAAACUGUCUUCAAAAAUAUUACAAUAAACCAUAGAAGUAUUUUAUUUAUUUUUUUCAGAUUUGCAUGACAGUAAAUUACAGGAGCAUAUUGUCCAAUUGGGUUUAUGAUGUAACUCAUGCAACCAAGCCCAUGUUCUUGUCUUUCCUUCUCUCUUUUACAUUUAUAUUUUUUCGCUUUUCUAUGCGACUUGGAUCCCAUUACGUAUGUAGACAUAUAAAAAAUUUACAUCCCACCAUUGCCCUGAAUGAUUGUUGAUUGAAUUUUAUCUAAACCUGCCAAACCAAAUAUCUUAUCUCAUGUUGACUCUUAAUUCACAGGUAAUCUUCACAUUAACCAGCACGAUGCAAAUAUUCCCUCUCAAGUUGUUCAUUUCACCCGUACCUUCAAAUACACUAAGUCCACUCAGCAACUUUGUUUAACAUAUUUACAGCAGAAAGUACAAAUCCUUUAGAUGGCUUAAUCAUCCCUCUUUCUCACUAAUAUUAGAAACCAGGAAUUAAAAAGAAAAACAAAAGAAACAUUUUACCAAAUUGGAUGAAAAAAACAACAAAUGUGAAAGAAAUUUCUCCACAAGGGUUUCCACAUCACAAAGGAUUUAUCCACUCAACUUACAAUAGCAACAAUCUAUCCUAUAUUUCUUCCUGCUGAUAUAUAACUAACUCGCUCAUUAAUAUUCUAACCAACUAAACUAAAAUGAUAAAUAAACUAAAAGGAUGACUAAAAUGAUAAAUAAAUAGUAUCAUGCAAAAUAAAGUCAAAUGCGAAUUAAAUAAAAACAACAUUCUGUCUUGAGCAUAGUGCAAUUUGCUGGUAACAGCGAGAAUAAAAACCAGCUAGAAAUUAAAUAACAGAUCAUUCAUGAAAAAGUGAUUACUUGUUUAAGAUACUCUCUUCAUCAAGAUUAACUUCUGAAGAAAAUUUUUCAAGUACUGAUCUUAUGGCAUUCUCAUACCAGAAUUCAAGCUAAUCAAGCGCUUCGCUAGCUCACCAAUUUUCUGGUACACCAAAAAUGUAAGCAUCAUCUUUCAAAGUAACACUUAAAACACCUACUAUACGUAACAAACACCCAGUGACUUGAACGCUGAGAAGCACUUUUAAGUGAACAUCCUGGUGCUUCUUUUACUAAUUUUUCUCCUUUUUCAUACAAAUUUGACAAGACAUUAUUUCAAUGGACCAAUGUCCUGAGAGCAGAAAACAGAAAAUGUAAACAAAUCUAUUAGAGCUGCUUACCAUAGGCCUAAAACAAGAUGAGGUUUUCUUUUUAAACUGAUAAUCAUAUUUGUUAUAAUUGAAAUUCAUUUUAUUGAAUUUUUCCCUUUUGGAUGAAACUUUAUGAAAAGAGAAAGUGUGAAAUUCAUUUUAUUGAAAAUUUUUCAAAUUGUUAUUUUUAACUCAAGAACUAAAGCUCUAAAGUAAACUAUAAAGUGUCUGUGUAAAGUAUAUCUCUCUAUUACAUGGCAGAUGAAUCUCCUUUUAUAGGGUCAAAGAAAGAGAGAAAGGGAAAGAGGGAACCUUCUCUUCGACGCUUCGAGCAUCUUCCAAUCGGACGGUCUACGUUUGCUCUCCUCUCCAAGCCCUCAGAUCAACUUUAAUCUCUUCGCCUCACUGGUCAGCUCCGGUCACGUGCUCGAGCUUCGAGUCAAGAUCGCACCGUUGGAGCUCAUCUUCCUCUCGCUUCUCUCUCUCUCGAACCCUAUAGCUUUUGGAUGUUCUUCAAAAUGAGAUGCUCCACCCUAAACAAAUUCCCCAAGACAGCAGCUGCCACACACCGUUUCAUUAAGUUUAGCUGCAAGCAGCGGCCCAACGUAGAAAAUAGCUAGUCCAAGGGUGUUGCUCCCUCAACGCCCCAUGUGGUUCCUUCACCUCUCCGUAAUUUCAUUUAUUUCAAAAAUUUCUUCCAUCUCUUCGUUAUUUUUUUUAUUUUUUAUGAAAAGGAUAAUCAUAUUCCGUCUAAAAAAAACCAGUAAUCAAAUUAUAACCCAAACCAUGAUCAAAAUGUGAAUGAUUACCAAUGUGAAAUUAGCUGGUUUUCGUUUUCUAAAAAUCGGAGCUUCAACAGUUCAAAUCAUCAACCAGGACUACCAUAACCUUUCACCUUUAAAAAAUAACAAUCAGAACCAUAGUAUUUUAUGAAAAGGAGAAUGACAUUGGGACUUAACAAAGCAACUGAGUCAUCAAGUUAGAACACAAACCAGAUCAAAAUCAAAGCUUUUUUACCGAUAAUCUUUUUAUUCUCGUGUGGUAACAUAUGUCCUGUUUCUUGCCCUCUUCACCAACUUUGUUGACAGAAAAGCGUGAGUAAUAAUGACACUCACCACCCAUGAAACCAAUCACAUUUACUUUAUAUUUUAUCCAAAUAACAUAUGUAAAGUAUUGGAAAAAGAGCCCGAGUAGUCUUUUCUUGUUCAUUUUUCUUACAUCAAGGGUUAAGUAUUCCACAAAUAUAUAAAAACCAUGGUUAUUUCU